rnacentral:rRNA from 1 species
GACGAACGCUGGCGGCGUGCCUAAUACAUGCAAGUCGAACGCUGAAGCUUGGUUCUUGCACCGAGCGGAUGAGUUGCGAACGGGUGAUUCACGCGUAGGUACCCUGCCUGGUAGCGGGGGAUAACUAUUGGAAACGAUAUCUAAUACCGCAUAAGAGUAGAUGUUGCAUGACAUUUGCUUAAAAGGUGCAAUUGCAUCACUACCAGAUGGACCUGCGUUGUAUUAGCUAGUUGGUGAGGUAACGGCUCACCAAGGCAACGAUACAUAGCCGAGCUGAGAGGGUGAUCGGCCAAACUGGGACUGGGACAAGGCCCAGACUCCCAAGGGGGGGAGCAGGAGGGAAACUUCGGAAAUGGACGGAAGUCUGAACGAGCAAAGCCGCGUGGGUGAAGGAGGGUUUCGGAUCGUAAAGCUCUGUUGUAAGGGAAGAAAGAGUGUGGGAGUGAAAAGUUCACACUGUGACGGUAUCUUAACAGAAAGAGACGGCUAACUACGUG